rnacentral:tRNA from 1 species
AAAGAUUUAGUUUAAAAUAAAACCUUAAUUUGUCAAAUUAAAAAUAUUUAUAUAAUAAUCUUUU